UCCAAGGAAGGCAGCAGGCACGCAAAUUACCCACUCCCGGCACGGGGAGGUAGUGACAAAAAAUAACGAUACGGGACUCAUCCGAGGCCCCGUAAUCGGAAUGAGAACACUCUAAAUCCUUUAACGAGGAUCUAUUGGAGGGCAAGUCUGGUGCCAGCAGCCGCGGUAAUUCCAGCUCCAUAGCGUAUAUUAAAGUUGUNNNNNNNNNNNNNNNNNNNNNNNNNGCCACGCUGUCGGUUCACCGGUUGCCGGUGCAACUGGCAUGUCGUGGCAUGUCCUGUCGGUGGCGGACAGGCUCGCGGCGUGCCCUAUGCGGUAACGUGUAGGUUGCUGCGCCGCGAUGUUUCUGUUCGCCGGCUCAAUCCUACCGCGGUGCUCUUUACCGAGUGUCGAGGUAGGCCGACACUGUUUACUUUGAACAAAUUAGAGUGCUUAAAGCAGGCUCUUAAAUCAGCCUGAAUAGUGGUGCAUGGAAUAAUGGAACAGGACCUUGGUUCUAUUUUGUUGGUUUUCGGAAUCCAAGGUAAUGAUCAAUAAGGACAGGCGGGGGCAUUCGUAUUGCGGCGCUUGGCAAAUGCUUUCGCNNNNNNNNNNNNNNNNNNNNNCAAGACGCACUAGAGCGAAAGCAUUUGCCAAGUAUGUCUUAAUUGAUCAAGAACGAAAGUUAGAGGUUCGAAGGCGAUCAGAUACCGCCCUAGUUCUAACCAUAAACGAUGCCAGCCAGCGAUCCGCCGAUGUUCCUCCGAUGACUCGGCGGGGAGCUUUCCCCGGGAAACCAAAGCUUUUGGGUUCCGGGGGAAGUAUGGUUGCAAAGCUGAAACUUAAAGGAAUUGACGGAAGGGCACCACCAGGAGUGGAGCCUGCGGCUUAAUUUGACUCAACACGGGAAACCUCACCAGGCCCGGACAUUGGAAGGAUUGACAGAUCGAUAGCUCUUUCUCGAUUCAGUGGGUAGUGGUGCAUGGCCGUUCUUAGUUGGUGGACUGAUUUGUCUGGUUAAUUCCGAUAACGAAC
rnacentral:rRNA from 1 species